GUGUCAGCCGCCGCGGUAAGACGAACCGGACAAACGUUAUUCGGAAUUACUGGGCUUAAAGGGUACGUAGGCGGUCCGGUAAGUGGGGUGUGAAAUCCCUCGGCUCAACCGAGGAACUGCGCCCCAUACUGCCGGACUUGAGGGAGACAGAGGUCAGCGGAACUGAUGGUGGAGCGGUGAAAUGCGUUGAUAUCAUCAGGAACACCGGUGGCGAAAGCGGCUGACUGGGUCUCUUCUGACGCUGAGGUACGAAAGCUAGGGGAGCGAACGGGAUUAGAUACCCUCGUAGUCC
rnacentral:rRNA from 1 species